CACCUGUCGUGUCACUUCCGUAAAUUAGUACGACCACAUAACCCGACUCUUCAAUCCUUUCAAACCCUAAUUUCUGGACUCAAAGAUCUCUCUAUAUAUAUAUAUGUAUUUGUAGAUGGGGAUCGGAAGAUGUGAGAAGGGCCUCAGCUAGGUUGCAGCGAGCGGCAAGCAGUGACCAGCGCUCCUCUGAGAGAGAGAGAGAGAGAGAGAGAGAGAGCGAGCAAGUGGCCUUCUGAUUGCCAAUCUUUAUGUGUACGAUCGAGGAGGAUGGCUUUUCGAGAGGGCUAAAUUGGCUUCGCGAGGAGAUGCUGAGUGGCUUCGCCCCCUUUGUUCCGCAAGGUGCAGCGAAUAAUUUCUCCGAAAUUUGUCAUUCCCCCUCGCUCUUUCAUCGUCAAGAUUGGAUUUUUCUUCCUUUUUGUCAUCUCUUCUCUCAACGAUUGGUGUUAUUGGGUCCGAUGAUGGCAUGGAAUCUUUGAGACCUGAUCUUUUUCAUCUUGGUGAAAACCAUAAGCAUGUUUCUGAGGACCCACUCCUGUAUGUUCAAUUUUUUUUUGUUUUUUUGUUUUCUCGUUUAUACUGGAUGAUGAAAUGCACUGGGCUCCGACCAGUUCUUCUGUUGUUUUGAAGGAAAUGCACUUGCGUAGAAUGCCUUGGCUGACUUCC